rnacentral:lncRNA from 1 species
AUCAAUGCGACGUGUCUCUAAAACCUCUCCCUCCCCUCUGCACAGAGCACUCACAAUUCUUCUCUUCCUUUUCUCCUUCCCAUUCCAUUUCCCCACCCACCCCACUCAAAAACUCCAGCACCACCUCCAGAUUUGGACUCAUCACUAACAUUCCAUGACUUUGAUUUCCCGCGGGCGAAUUCCGGCCGAAAUAUAAUAUACCCACAAAUUACAGGGUAAAAUUUUCCUUCUUUCGCCAGAGGUUUUGUAUGACUUGAGAAAAGAAACCAAAGAAACGAACAGGGUCUCUCUUCUUUUCUUUGCUGGGUCUGAAUUUCGUCGGCGGGCAAUGUUAAUGGGCGAUCUUGAAGUCUGCUCAAACGGCGGGAAAUUCUUGAGGAGGAGGCCAGACGGCCACUGUUUCGAAGACGUGCAGUUACCCUCUACCAUGGUGGUUGGUUCGAGG